CAGCCCACUUCGCACUCGCCGCAGUCUCUGUUGGUCGGGCCCGAGCACGUCUUGCAGGACUCGUCGCAGGCUGGAAGGCAAAGGCGGGCCUGGGUACGAACCCCACUCUCAGGGAUUUGACAGGUGCUGCUCUCCGGGCCGGUGCUGGGCCCGCACGGUACCUCCAGGACCUGUGCACUGCGUGGCCCAUCACAACUCCAGGUCGCGGCAGACCUCGAACUAGAGAGGAAGGUGAGUAGCUUCUCCCUUCUGGGGGCUGUUAUGGGACAGGAAGCGCCCCUAGCAACCUCUGCCUCUAUCCUCUGACGUUUUAAUUCAUCCUUCUGGGCCCCCGAAGCUUCCCUGGACAUCCGGGGUUAAGAUAUUAGCAGGCCCCUGUUCCCAUCUAGGCAGGUAGCUCCAGCAAGGGGCAGUUGUCAUCCUGCCUCACCCCGGGGCCGGCCCAGGCGAAGCCGUACCUGUGCAGACGCUGUGGGUCUCGUUCCGGAGCGAGCUGAAGUAGCCGUCCAUGCAGUCAGUGCACAGUGGGCCCUGGUACCCCACGUGGCACCGGCAGGACCCGUCACCCUGUCUGCUGCCGUCUCCGCUGCAGUGGCCAUUCCCGCUGCAGGGCCUCUGGGACCCACCCUGGCACGCUUUGGGGGACACAAAACCAUGCUCAGAGCACACCUGGUGGUGACUGGUGGGGUGUUCUCAGAGAGAACGCACUGCACCCAAACCCUGUACGAUUCUGAGGACGUACAUGAGCCUGCAGGCUUGGAGUGGGUGUUGGGGGAAACUGAUUUCCUGGGGUCUGCAGGGCUGGCGGUGGAUGGCCUGAGUGGAGCAAGCCACAGGCUGCUGGACUUCACUAAGGCCACGUGCUGCAUGAUGACGUUUAGGUCAACAAGGGACCCUGCAUGGCACAGCUGUCCCCUAAGAUGAUAAUAAAGCUGAGCAGCUCCUAUUGCCUAGUGACAUCACGAUACGCCUUAUUACCUGUUCUAUGUUUAGAUGUAUUCAGGUGACACACUCUUACCACGUCACAAUGGCCCACAGUACUCAGGACCCUCACGUGCCACGCGGGUGUACGGCCUGGGAGCAGCAGGCCCUGCCAGGCGGCCUAGGUGCGGAGCGGCUGCACCACCUAGGCGUGUGGAGUGCACUCUGCCAUGUUUGCACCAUGACAAAGUCGCCUGAUGAUGCAUUUCUCAGAACACGCCUGGUCGUUACACAUGACUGCACUUUGUGUGGCUUUGGGCAGCCUCAGCUGAAACAUGGUGAUGGGGACACCGAUGCAUCAGGGGCGGAGACUGCAGGGAGAGUGGGAACAUCAGCUGCAGCCUCCAGUGCUCGCCAGGGAUAGACGCAGAGGCUGGCAGGAGGCUGACGGGGGGCAGGUCGGGGGGUCUAAACCUGAAACUUCUGCUGCCUGAUCCUGCUUGACCACGUGAUUGCCUUUUAUAAACGUUAAACCGUG